rnacentral:snoRNA from 1 species
AACCCAUGGUGAGGGCACCUUCUCAAUAGAUCUUUGAUCUCUUCCAUGCAUCAUAAAGAGUUUCUAGACCCAUCUGCACAAAAGAAGAGAUAUCAUUCCUUAAUUU